GGGACAACCGUCACCACGGUGGCCAUUCGUCUGAAAAUCAUCCAGUUCGUCUUCCUCCUCACACCACCUCCGCGUGUGGAACAGAGACAGCGCUGGAACACAUGUUUGUACAAACUUCCACAGCCGCCUCCACCCAAUUCCACUUCACAGCGCUCCGCUCGCCUUAUGUAUUCAAAAGAGAUCAUUCACAGUGAUGGCACGGAAACUUCCCAGCAUGCCUUGCAACCUGUCGUUUUUCACUCUCGCCACAGCAGGAUGUCCAGAUAAAUGCUUUAUUAAGACCCUGCCGACGUGGAGAGCUGCUGUGACUAACUAGUGCAUUAAAGUCUAAAAGGCUCAGUUAUCUCGACCAAUAAAAGGAUAAAACAUUGCUGGAGUGGAAUUAAGUUAACUCGGCCUUAGUAACAUCAACGCAACCCCUGAUGUUGUUUAGAUCAAUAAAGCCCAUUAAAGUACAGACUGGAGCGCGGACGAGGCUGCCCUCGCCGUGGCAAACGCCAGGGUGGCCAAAAGACAAACGCCGAACUACCAUAAUAAGAUGAAAUCCGGUGAAGUAGAAGAAGUACAUAUUCAUCUCCAUCACGCGGAUCUCUUUAUUCGCCGUGUCCACCAGGUGAUGCACCAAAUCACCUGCGCAGCCAGCGCCCACCAGGUGUGACGGCCACGCCCUCAGGCUCCGCCCCAUCCUGGCAACACGUGGAGGAGAAGAGGAUCCGGGAGCGUUGAUGUGUGUGCGUUCAGAGCUUUGCAGACAGUGAAGCCACAGGAAACUCAGUUUUUGUCGCUCUCUCAAUAAGUAUGCAGUGAAAUGAUGGACAUGUACGGCGUGUCCUCUGUGGCGUAGGUGCUGUAGGAGGUAUACUGACAUCGAGCUGCUCAGGUGUGUGUGUGUGUGUGUGUGUGUGUGUUACAGACAUUUGUGUUUUCUUUUCAAGAAAGGUGGAAGUAAAACAAAUGAAGCCUCAGACGGACACAGAAGGUCUUCCAGAGGUCUGUAAAAGUAUUUGUCAAAUAAAAGAUCUUUAAAUAAAACUAGAGCCAGGAGCACAAACGCUGCGGUAAUGAUUGUGAAUAAUAUCCUUGCAAAAAUGAUCAACUCUGACAUUGUAAUAUAACCCAACAAUAAAUACAUCAUAGGGCAAAAAAAGGGAGUGAAGAGAAAGAAAAGGCCCAGCAGCCCCAAGUGACAGCAUAAAUAAAGUGUGGCACAUCUUUUACCUUCUUCAAUUAUCUGCCGUUUGACAUGCUAGCUGAGCACAGUGUAAUUAACAUCUCAGCAGAUAAUGGGGUCGCUACUCACUUAUCAAUCUCACACAUAUAUUAUUUGCCUUUUUACCAAUCCGACCUCCUGUUCUCGCAGAAAGGAAAUAUUCCGCAACAGAUUUCUCUUCCCUUUUUUUGGUUUGGGGCUUUUAAUGAAACCCUGGCGAAAAGGAAUAAUGACUCAUUCAAUUGAGCUCAUCUUCCAAACAUCACUUUGGGCUCCGACCCGCUGGCACGGGGAAAUUACAAGUCCUUUUCCUGCAAGAUGGUGACCGUGUUGUCACAUGCAGGAGACUGUCCGAGGAACAGCUGAUGUCGCCAAAACCUUUAACCAACAACACAAUGUGGAAUUGAUCGCCUGGCAGAUGUCACCGUAUACGCCGAAAACUACUUCUGUCCCGAGUGUGAUCCAACAUGUGGAUUAGUUUAUGAUUUGGCAUGAAAUGAGAACAACAGCAGCCCAUAUUGACCGAUGGAUAAAGUGACUCGGUUGAUGAUAUUAGCCCUGCUAGCAUCGGAUGCUAUACAGCCUUUGAGCGGAGGUCUAAGUUGUGUCGUUUCUGUCAGUACAUCGAGAGCAAUGACACCUUCAGGGAGAAACCUCACUUCCUCUUUCACAGACUCAACUGAAAUGUCCCGGUAAUGAGAACCCGGCCUCCUGUUGCAUCACUGGCUAAUGUUUUCAGAGUAUUUCGGUCGUGGUGUCAGACCUCAAGGAGUAUUUGUUGUCUAAUGUAAAAGGACUAGAAGAACUUUACGGUAGAAUAACUUGUUGCGAUGUUAGAUAUCGCUGAUAAGAGUUGACAUCGUUAAACGCGUCAAACUAUUCUGUCAAGAAUUCAGUCAAAUGAUCGAUUUUACACAUAUUUUUCAUUAUCAAAUAUGCAUUUUGAGAAGUGAUGCCAGAGGCAGCUCCACUUCAACGAAAACACGUAAUCGAUGGAAAGAAAUCAGCAAAGAUACAGGAGACGAUCAAACGAAGUCAGCGUAAGACAGUCGCAGUGGUUUUCGCUGGGGGGGUUAAAAGCUUUACCUUGAGUGUAUCAUUAACUCAACGCUGCCUCGACAUGCAGGGGCAGCUCUUUU
ensembl:lncRNA